rnacentral:lncRNA from 1 species
CCUCAGAGAAACUACCUUUCAGACCUUCGCGGCCUCUCCUGCGCCCGCAGCGCCCGGCAGCUGGGGACCCGGGCUUAGCCACAUCGACCGCAACGUUCGCGCGCCACCUUGUGUCCAUUCCCUUAGCCUCCAGGGACAACCCGGAAACCACAUUUCCCAGCGUGCCGAGCGCCUCUGCGCAGGCGCAAAGAGUUUCCCUCGUUGCCAUGGGAACCUCGCCCCUUCUAGAGUCCUGGCCGCUUGACUCAGCUAAGCGCGAAGGUGUUGUUUCUUCCUGAGGUGCGCUGGGGCUGGGACCCGGUCUGCAGAAGGUCCAGGGGAUGGCGUCGGGGGAUUGAGGAGAGGAGACCAAGCCGGCCUUGCCUCCGGGACCAGCGCUUCCAAAUUCUCUGGGGCGUCCCGGCGCGCACACGCUCCUGAGGCCUCGGCGUUCUGAGGAAAGGGGCUGGCGUGGCGACCCGGGUCCUCGAGGCCGAGAUCUGGCUGUGGCCCGCGAAGCCCCGCUUGCCCGCGCCAGCGUCUUGUCACCCCGAGCCGAGGGCCUGCGCGCGGCCGACAGGUAUGGGAUGCUGGAGGACAUCUGGGGGCCACAAAUGCUCCUUCUCCUGGAGACGCAACUCAAGGGUCCUCAAGGUCAUAGAACCCCAUAACCCCAUUAGGUGUCAGGGGCAGAAACAGGACUGUGUGAAGAUUCACAGCCUCCACCUCCCUUGCCUUCACGGAGCUUCGGCAUCUACCCUUAUUCCAGGCGGCUGCUCAGGUAAUGAGUAUGAGGCAGAGGUGGGAAGGCUGUCCUGGUUUACACGUGGUGGGGGAGGGGUCCAGAGCGCAGGAUGAGGCUGAGAGCAUGGGGACAACUGUCAAGCAGGGACAGAUGGGACUGUGGGUGGAGGGCUGGAAGUUGGAUGUUUCUCUCAGCACUGUGCUAAGAGUGACUUAGAGACAUCUCAGCUGCAUUUGGCUCACGCUGAUUUAUUUAUUUGUUUGUUUGCUUAUUUUUCCAUGCCCUUUGUCAACAGGAAUGGUUUACAGAUAUUUAUUCAUUCAUUC